rfam:Neotoma lepida isolate 417 scaffold_1342, whole genome shotgun sequence.
AAUAGUCACACAAAUUAGCAAUGGGGCCACCAAGAGAGUACAUUCAACCUUAAUAAAAAGAUGUCUUAGUUUAUCAAUUUUCUGUCAAUCAUUAAAACAAGAAAGAUGAAACUUGCAAUUAUAUACAAGGAGACAUAACUCCUAAUUCUUUCCAUCCUACCUGAAACAGAAGAGUUUUAAUUGCUUGGAAAAAAAUAAGAUUUUUCCUUU